rnacentral:misc_RNA from 1 species
GAUGAAGAACGUAGCGAAAUGCGAUAAGUAAUGUGAAUUGCAGAAUUCAGUGAAUCAUCGAAUCUUUGAACGCACCUUGCGCUCCUUGGUAUUCCAAGGAGCAUGCCUGUUUGUGUAUCAUUAAAUUAUCAACUGUGCCAAUUUGGUUACAGAUUGGAUGUGGGAGAUUCUUUUUGCAGGCCUUUGACUUCUCUUUGAGAAAAAAAAUAAAAGGUCGGCUCUCCUGAAAUGUAUUAGCAGUGCCUUUGUUGGUUCAUUAGGUGUGAUAAAUUGUCUACAUCUUCGCAUGAUACCUUCAUUUGUAAAGGUCAUAUUGCUUCUAAAUUGUCUUUGAUUGGACGCAAAACAUAUAUAAUGUUUGACAAACUUGAUCUCAAAUCAGGCAGGACUACCCGCUGAACUUAAGCAUAUCAAUAAGCGGAGGA